UAGACCGUUGGUAAACAUGACACUGCAAUAGGUUAUAGGCAUCUCCCAAUGCAGUGUGUGUGUGUGUAUAUGUAUGUAUGUGUGUGUGUUGUUAUUAACAUACCACGUGACGCUUUCAAAGGGGAAGGUGUUAAAUCCAAUGUUACAGUUGUUAUGUUAUGUUUUCCUGAGUGUAUUUAUCUCCUACACCUGUCUGUAUUAGAUGGUAUGUUAUUCAAACAGAGCUAGUAAGACAAGAGCCCCCCAGGCCACAGAAAUGCCAUGUUGAAUCCAUGACUGCCACUACUAGUUGUCUCUGUCUGCCUGGAAGGCAAAGGAACCUGUCUUAGAAGAGGACACAUUCAAAUACAUCUCUUUAUCUCUAAGCUAUCAGGCAAUAGAAAAUGACAGCUUAGAAAGUAUUUUCUGGAUGAAUUGAUGUUUAAUGCAAUGUCAGUGUCCCGUAUAUAUGUGUCUUGAAUGGGUGAUGAAUGUGUCGGUGAUACGGAGCAAAUUCAAUUUGGGGUGACCCGGCUCCUAGCAGUGACCCAGAGGGGUGUGUGCGGAGCUGGGGGUCAGCUGAGUAGAGCUUGAGAGGAUUAGAAGCAGGGGUCAGAGUCCUACGGAGAGGAACAUGCAGAAAGGGGGGUAGAUGAAUCAUGGGACAGCACACCUCCACUACACUGUGUGUGUGUCAAUGUGCUAAAUGUUUUCGCUAACCAUAAUGUGAUACAGCUGUGGUUAUUCCAUUUGAACUCUUCAUCACCACAGUCAAUGUAAAUUACCAGCCUGUAGAUUUCAGACCAGAGACUUCUAACGUACGUCACCAUUUAACAUGUUGUGCAUUUAAUUGAUGAUGUAUACCAGUACAAUAUGGGCAGAAUAACUUGACCAAGUCCAUUGCAGCAGAAUGCUUUGUUGUUGUAUGAUUUGAUUGGAGUUUCAAAACAUUUUGUCUGUACCUUGGUUAUACAGUUAGCCUGAGCUGGCGAAGCAGCAGCAGCAUCUUCUCCAUUAUAAAUACAGAGGAUGAAUAUUUCAUCUGGCACUUCAUAGGGCAGCUCAACAGCCAGGGGUCCUUAGUCCUCUCUCACGCGGAGGCAUGUGUACGGUCCAAACACUUAAAAGACACCCUCGUCCACUUACCCUCACUUUAUGCCCUUGGAGGAAUCCCCAUCGCCAUCUUGGAGGGUGGUUCAAAUGAUUCGCCAAGCAAGGGAAGUUUUCAACUUAAGCCCCUCGCCCUCGUUUUUAGUCAGCUUUGCGAGUUCACUCGGGGGCCUGAAACUCCCCAUAAUUCAAUUUGAGACGAUUGUACAUCCGCUAAGAAAAGUCUCAGAAAACUUCAAAACAACAUCAAUGGAGAAGUAAACAUACAAGUGCUGCUAAUGGGCCUCCUGACUGGGGGUGUUAGCAUGAAGGAGAGGCUCUGUGACUGGACGGGACACAGGGAAUUGACGUGACCUUCACAGACCUGAGAGGAGAAGAAGACAGGAGUUCCAGGAAUGAGAUAAAGAGAGCGCAUACAUUCAGAGGAGAUCAGAGUCACAUGCAGCAGCCUCAAAGCAAAUGAGGGGUCUUCGGUGAAGUACUAUGAAGGCACCACUGAUCUCGACAAGAGGCGCACCAUUCAGAAAAUUUCACCAUUCAGGGCAAUCAUAUCUACCUAUAGGGGAAGGAUGGCCAUCCACACAGGAGGGUGAUGUUUACUAAGGAGGAGAAGGAAGCUGUGCUGACCGAGAUGCAUGCUGGCCAUUUCGGAGUGAAGCACAUGAUUGCCAAAAUCAACCUACGAUUCUUCUGACGAGGAAUUGUCAAGGAGGUCAGUAGCCUGUCAAGCCUGCCAGAAGAUUCAUAGUGCGAAGACUGUGGCGCCAGAGUUGAAGCACAUCAAAGUUGUUUCACCAAUGCACAUGAUCGGGGUGGACCUCAUCGGACCCUUCACGAAGUCCAGGAAUGGCAGCAACUGGUGUCUGACGGAGACCGAUCACUUUACCAAGAGGGUGGAGGCAAUACCCAUUAAGGACGAGACUGGCAAGGCCAUGGUUCUCCUGAGGUCAUCUUGAGUGACCGAGGUCAUGAACGCUGGAACAAGGUUUGGUGAAUGGACAAACUAGACCCUCAAGACUUCCAUGGGAAAGUCCCUUGAUUGGUACCAGGAAGGUUGAGAGAACAACCUGAAGGUGAGACUGAACAUCGUCAAGGCGAAGGAAAAACAGAAGGAGAGCUACCGGAGCAGAGUCAAGAAAGGGACCAAGUGCUACUACAUCCAGGCAAAUUACUUGGUUUGGAAGAAGGAUGAAAGGAAGCCGAGACCUGGGAAACCUCGCUGCUCUUUCACUUUUAGCUGGGGUCACCAUAUGUUAAGGUUACCUCGGUGGACGCCAACGAUCUUCUACAGUUGGACAGUCAACCACUGAAAGCCCUGACGCCCUACACUUCAGUGAAGCCCAAUAGACAAAAUAUGUUAAGCUUUGCUUGACAUUUGAGAAAGCAAGAAAGGAUAGUUAUGCUGAGCUUAUAAAAAUGUACCUCUUCAAUUUAUCUCUCCAAAUUACUUUAGGACCAUCGACUGUCCGAGCCCCCCAGGAGGUAUCCCAUCCACCAGAAGCUGUGAGUUCAGAUCAGUCUGAUCUUUGUGCUCUGAGUCGGAGGUGGACCAGCUUGAGGUAGGCUAUACCUUCCAAAAGUGUUGAAAAGUACAUACCAUUUAUAACACAGCACAAAUCCAUCAAAUUUUCAAACAGUAAAGUGUAACCUGUGUGUUUGCUGGUUUAAGUCUCUGUCUCCUACUCUGUUCCCUUUACUUUGCUCCUGUUCUCCAGGAGCUAGAGGUUCUGCCCGACACCCAGACCUUGAUCCACCUGUCCUCCAUUACCAUCCACCCUCCCAACGUUUCAUUAUAUCAUCUACUGUUGUUGUCAUUAUCUGCUAAGAAAGUUUUAUUUUCCUAUCAUACAGGGUAAUAUUUGAGAUACACAGAUGAACUAAAAACACUAGCACUGCAAACACAGCAGUGCCUGGACGUUGCAGUCUUCCUCUUCAAGUCACCCUUUCCGAGACUGGCUGCCUGUUGAGGACAAGUGACAGGCAGAACCUCCCAACAACACAGCAACCGCGUCCUCAAUAUUCCACACACCACAACUCAGUAUUUUAGUCUAUGAUUGCCAUGUGAGUGUACAAAAAAAUCUGUGAAAAUAAAUUAGACACAACUGUAGCAAAAAUAUCAAAGUUUAUGUAUUAAAAUCUUAAAUAUUG